CCUACGGGUGGCAGCAGUGAGGAAUAUUGGUCAAUGGACGAGAGUCUGAACCAGCCAAGUAGCGUGAAGGAUGACUGCUCUAUGGGUUGUAAACUUCUUUUAUAUGGGAAUAAAACAGGGUAUGCAUACCCUCUUGUAUGUACCAUAUGAAUAAGGAUCGGCUAACACCGUGCCAGCAGCCGCGGUAAUACGGAGGAUCCGAGCGUUACUCGGAUUUAGUGGGGUUAACGGGCGCGUAGGUGGAUUGUUAAGUCAGAUGUGAAAGUUUGCGGCUCAACCGUAAAACUGCAGUUGAAACUGGUAGUCUAGAGUACGGGAGAGGUAGGCGGAAUUCGUGGUGUAGCGGUAAAAUCCUUAGAGAUCACGAAGAACUCUGAUUGCGAAGGCAGCUCACUGGACUGCAACUGACACUGAUGCGCGAAAGUGUGGGUAUCAAACAGGAUUAGAUACCCUUGUAGUC
rnacentral:rRNA from 1 species